rnacentral:rRNA from 1 species
GUGUCAGCCGCCGCGGUAACACCGGCAGCUCUAGUGGUAGCCAUUUUUAUUGGGCCUAAAGCGUUCGUAGCCGGUUUGAUAAGUCUCUGGUGAAAUCCUAUAGCUUAACUGUGGGACUUGCUGGAGAUACUAUUAGACUUGAGGUCGGGAGAGGUUAGCGGUACUCCCAGGGUAGGGGUGAAAUCCUGUAAUCCUGGGAGGACCACCUGUGGCGAAGGCGGCUAACUGGAACGAACCUGACGGUGAGGGACGAAAGCCAGGGGCGCGAACCGGAUUAGAUACCCUCGUAGUCC